GGGGCAGUAGCUCAACCCGGUAAAUUGGGUAAGAGAGCAACCGGCUGAAGACCGGUGUGUUGUGGGUUCAAAUCCCACCUGCCCCA
rnacentral:tRNA from 1 species